rnacentral:misc_RNA from 1 species
CCCUCCCCUAAAUCACUCCAAAAAAAACAAUCCCCAAUUCUACACAAGUGUUUCUACACUAACAAAGCAACAGCUCCUUAACGAAUUCCCAACUUUACACGAGCUCGUCUCUCGAGGUUAAAUGUUAUUACUUGGUAAGAUUCCGGACCUCGCCAAGUGUUUUGAAAACCCGCAACGCUCGCAAAGGUGCAUAGUGAGAAUAAUAAGUGAAGAGACAGACUUGUCCAAAACGCCCACCACGAAGGUGCAUAGUGAGAAGAGUAAGUCAAGAGAUAGACUUGUCCAAAAAGAAACGGAAGAGAAAGCUUGGGGAGACGCUCACGAAGGUGCAUAGUGAGAAGAGUAAGUCAAGAGAUAGACUUGUUCAAAAAGAAACAGAAGAGAAUGCUUGGGGUUACACUCACGAAGGUGCAUAGUGAGAAGAGUAAGUCAAGAGACAGACUUGUUCAAAAAGAAACAAAAGAGAAUGCUUGGGGAGAUAGAAGUGUGAGAUAGUUCUCAAGCUAAGAAAGUUGUAAAAGCUAAGAACUAGCAAGUAAUCGUCCAGGAUUCCUCCACCAGGACUUGAAAUCGUCGAGGGAAAAAAAUCGGUUCCGAGGAAUCGUCGAUCCGGACUUGGAAUCGUCGAGAAAAGUUUACCGGGUCCGAGGAUUUGUCGACCAGGAGUGGAAAUCGUCGAGAAAAAUCUAUCGGGUCCGAGGAAUCGUCGACCAGGACGAGGAAUCGUCGACAGGGUCCGAGGAUUUGUCGACCAGGGGUUGAAAUCGUCGACCAGGUCCGAGACUUCAUCGAC